rnacentral:rRNA from 1 species
CGCCAGAGGCAUCGCUGGGUAGCUAUGUAGGGAAGGGAUAAACGCUGAAAGCAUCUAAGUGUGAAACCCACCUCAAGAUGAGAUUUCCCAUGAUUUUAUAUCAGUAAGAGCCCUGAGAGAAGAUCAGGUAGAUAGGUUAGGAGUGGAAGUUGUGUGAGCAAUGGAGCGGACUAAUACUAAUAGCUCGAGGACUUAUCCAAA